ACGCUGGCGGCAUGCUUUACACAUGCAAGUCGAACGGCAGCACAGAGAAGCUUGCUUCUUGGGUGGCGAGUGGCGAACGGGUGAGUAACAUAUCGGAACGUACCGAGUAGUGGGGGAUAACUAAUCGAAAGAUUAGCUAAUACCGCAUAUUCUCUGAGGAGGAAAGCAGGGGACCUUCGGGCCUUGCGUUAUUCGAGCGGCCGAUAUCUGAUUAGCUAGUUGGUGGGGUAAAGGCCUACCAAGGCGACGAUCAGUAGCGGGUCUGAGAGGAUGAUCCGCCACACUGGGACUGAGACACGGCCCAGACUCCUACGGGAGGCAGCAGUGGGGAAUUUUGGACAAUGGGCGCAAGCCUGAUCCAGCCAUGCCGCGUGUCUGAAGAAGGCCUUCGGGUUGUAAAGGACUUUUGUCAGGGAAGAAAAGGCUGUUGCUAAUACCGACAGUUGAUGACGGUACCUGAAGAAUAAGCACCGGCUAACUACGUGCCAGCAGCCGCGGUAAUACGUAGGGUGCGAGCGUUAAUCGGAAUUACUGGGCGUAAAGCGAGCGCAGACGGUUACUUAAGCAGGAUGUGAAAUCUCCGGGCUCAACCUGGGAACUGCGUUCUGAACUGGGUGACUAGAGUGUGUCAGAGGGAGGUAGAAUUCCACGUGUAGCAGUGAAAUGCGUAGAGAUGUGGAGGAAUACCGAUGGCGAAGGCAGCCUCCUGGGAUAACACUGACGUUCAUGCUCCAAAGCGUGGGUAGCAAACAGGAUUAGAUACCCUGGUAGUCCACGCCCUAAACGAUGUCAAUUAGCUGUUGGGCAACUUGAUUGCUUAGUAGCGUAGCUAACGCGUGAAAUUGACCGCCUGGGGAGUACGGUCGCAAGAUUAAAACUCAAAGGAAUUGACGGGGACCCGCACAAGCGGUGGAUGAUGU
rnacentral:rRNA from 1 species